CACACCCGUUCCCAUUCCGAACACGGAAGUUAAGCUCUUCAGCGCCGAUGGUAGUUGGGGGCUGUCCCCCUGUGAGAGUAGGACGUUGCCAAGC
rfam:Bacillus azotoformans LMG 9581 contig49, whole genome shotgun sequence.